CGGCGGGAAUUCCCGCACCUGCUCUCGAACGCGCACAGGGCCAAUCAUCAGAGGGAAAAGAUGUGCUGGCGGCUACCUCAGGAGUCAACCGCGACUGAGACAUGAAAGCCGCCAAUUUGGAUUCCACAGAUGAGUCAAAUCCGAGGAGACCAAAAGAAAAAAAAAAAAAAAAAAAAAGUCC